UUUUCAGGAUCAAUUAUUUCUGAAUCAAAUCUGCCAAAGUUCUACAGUGGCUCCAAAGGGUUUGGGGGAAGCAACAGAAUUAUUUGAUACAAGAUUCAUUUUGAGAUAUGCCUACAAAGGUCUACCUGGAUGACUCAACAGUGCCCUAGGUAAGCAGGAGACCAAGGACCACUGUAUUUAUUCUUUUACAUUCUUCCAAGUUCUGUAGCAUAGCUAGGACCAUAAAAACCUUAGAAGUUAAAAAAAAAUAUGAUAUUUAGUAAGAUGAUAAUGCAAUGUCUCAUUUUAUACCAGGAAAGUGAAGCUGUGUGUGACUUGCGUGAGGCCAUGGAGCGUUGCAUCAGCAUGGUCAACCCAGGGCCUGGAUUUCUUGACUCCUGCUCCAGGAAUCAUUCUGCAUAAACAGAUGAUCCCUCUGGACAAUGGGUCCUAUCUUAAGGAAGCUUCUAGGGAAGAGCUACUUAACUCCUAUGGUAACUAUUAAGUGGUUCCCUUGGACUAAGACUUACUCCAUGUCUUCACCCAAUAAAAUCCAGCCCAUAGAAAAUUAGAGCAAUGCAUAUUUAGCCUCUUGGUGACAAUUAAAAGACAGCUUCAAAAAAAGGCCUACAAGUCAACCCAAGGGUGCACACUUAUUGUUCCCACUG
rnacentral:lncRNA from 1 species